CCUACGGGUGACAGCAGUGGGGGAUAUUGCACAAUGGGGGAAACCCUGAUGCAGCAACGCCGCGUGAGUGAAGAAGGAUUUCGGAAUGUAAAGCUCUAUCAGCAGGGAAGAGAAUGACGGUACCUGACUAAGAAGCCCCGGCUAACUACGUGCCAGCAGCCGCAGUACUAAGUAGGGGGCGAGCGUUAUCCGGAUUUGCUGGGUGUAAAGGGGGAGGGGAUGGCUGGUCAAGUCUUGAGUGAAAGCCCCGGGCUUAACCCCGGAACGGCUUUGGAAACUGAGCAGCUAGAGUUCUGGAGAGGUAAGCGGAAUUCCUAGUGUAGCGGUGAAAUGCGUAGAUAUUAGGAGGAACACCAGUGGCGAAGGCGGCUUACUGGACAGUAACUGACGUUGAGGCUCGAAAGCGUGGGGAGCAAACAGGAUUAGAUACCCGGGUAGUC
rnacentral:rRNA from 1 species